rnacentral:rRNA from 1 species
CGCUGGCGGCGUGCCUAACACAUGCAAGUCGAACGAUUCUUUGAUUAUAGCAAUAUUAUUAAAGAGGAGUGGCGAACGGGUGAGUAACACGUAGAUAAUCUGCCUUCAGACGGGGACAACUCAGGGAAACUUGUGCUAAUACCCGAUGAGACCACAAGAAGGGAUUUUUUGUGGCCAAAGGCGGGCAGCAAUGCUCGUGCUGAAAGAUGAGUCUGCGUCCUAUCAGCUAGUUGGUGGGGUAAAUGCCUACCAAGGCUAAGACGGGUAGCCGGCCUGAGAGGGUGAACGGCCACACUGGGACUGAGACACGGCCCAGACUCCUACGGGAGGCAGCAGUGAGGAAUUUUCCGCAAUGGGCGCAAGCCUGACGGAGCGACGCCGCGUGAGGGAUGACAGCUUUCGGGUUGUAAACCUCUUUUAUUAAGGAAAAAGAUCUAUAUGCUAAUAUCAUGUAGAUUUGAUGGUACUUAUUGAAUAAGCCCCGGCUAACUACGUGCCAGCCGCCGC